rnacentral:rRNA from 1 species
UACGAAGGGGGCUAGCGGUGCUCGGAAUCACUGGGCGUAAAGCGCACGUAGGCGGAUCAUUAAGUCGGGGGGUGAAAUCCUGGAGCUCAACUCCAGAACUGCCUUCGAUACUGAAGAUCUCGAGUCCGGGAGAGGUGAGUGGAACUCCGAGUGUAGAGGUGAAAUUCGUAGAUAUUCGGAAGAACACCAGUGGCGAAGGCGGCUCACUGGCCCGGUACUAACGCUGGAGGUGCGAAAGCGUGGGGAGCAAACAGG